AACGACGAAUUGGAGGGGGAGGGGGGAGGCGCACCUGAGCUGGACGAGGUGGCCUCUGAGGUCAUGCCCAGCCCAGGCAGGGAGCGUCCGUGUGAAGAAGCGCCCUGAGCUGGCUAAGGCGCUGCGUUCGUCGGUUGCUGCCGCCGUCGUCGUCUUCUGAGGAAUACUUGACGACAAUCUCUCUUCACAAAAGUCAUACCAAAAGGAAACAAUACAAUGUAUGCAUCAUCUUCACUUGUGAGCAGCAGAUAUCACCUUGAAAGAGGCAUUCCAUCUGGAGAAAAUCCUCUUCUGUGAUUAUGCCUGCCACUGAGCGCUUUAUCUCUUAUAUCUUUAACUAUGACAAGCCCCAACUCAGCAGAAGCAGAUAUUUUCUGUCGAGUAAAUGCAAUGAUAUGGGCAAGCGUCACCUGCCAAAGUUCUUCUUGUCACACAACUGGUAAAGCACAGGAGCCUUGCCACGAAAAUACAGGCCCUCUCCGUAGGGGUCACUGAGCACCUUGCUCUUUUCUUUUUCUUCUUGGCUUUUGCCAUUUAUUAAACUUUUAUUGUGUGUUCUUCUGUAAACUUUAUAAGAUAUACUUUGUCAACAUGUGUUAAGAAUAGUUAUAUCAGUGAUCCAAUAUAAAUGAAUAGGAGCUUUAA